rnacentral:misc_RNA from 1 species
CAGGGGAGCAGCCAGCUAAAUUUUGGUAUCAAGUCAAAUAGGGGCGCUUUAAACCGCCCCUACAAGAUCGUCUAAAGUCUAAAAUAAUUUUUAAAUGGCAAUAAAAACCGCCCCUACAAGCUGCCCAAAAUAUUGACGGGUAAAAAAAUUGGCGGGAAUUCAAUUUUUUUUGUGGCGGUUUAAACCGCCCCAACAAGCUGUCCCAAAUAUUAGCGGGUAAAAAAAUUGCUGGGAAAUUCAAUUGAUAGGGGCGG